rnacentral:rRNA from 1 species
AUUGAACGCUGGCGGCAGGCCUAACACAUGCAAGUCGAACGAGUGGCGGACGGGUGAGUAAUGUCUGGGAAACUGCCCGAUGGAGGGGGAUAACUACUGGAAACGGUAGCUAAUACCGCAUACCAUCGGAUGUGCCCAGAUGGGAUUAGCUAGUAGGUGGGGUAACGGCUCACCUAGGCGACGAUCCCUAGCUGGUCUGAGAGGAUGACAGGCCACACGGGAACUGGGACACGGUCAAGAUCCCUACGGGAGGAAGCAGUGGGGAAUAUGGCACAAUGGGCGCAAGCCUGAUGCAGCAAUGCCGGGGGAAUGAAGAAGGCCUUCGGGUUGUAAAGUACUUUCAGCGAGGAGGCGUUACUCGCAGAAGAAGCACCGGCUAACCCCGGGCCAGCAGCCGCGGUAAUUC